UUAAAAAGCUCGUAGUUGGAUUCUGCUGAGGAUGGGCGGUCCGCUCACUGAGCGUCUAUCUGCUUCAGCCUUGGCAUCCUCUCGUUAAUCGUUUCUGCGCUUGAUUGCGUGGGGCGGGUGGCGGGACUUUUACUUUGAGGAAAUUAGAGUGUUCACGGCAGGCUAUCGCCAGAAUACAUUAGCAUGGAAUAAUACUAUAGGAUCUUGGUCCUAUUUUGUUGGUUUCUAGGAUUAAGAUAAUGAUUAAUAGGGACAAUUGGGGGCAUUCGUAUCAACACGUCAGAGGUGGAAUUCUUGGAUUGUGUUGCGACGAACUACUGCGAAAGCAUUUGCCAAGGAUGUUUUCAUUGAUCAAGAACGAGAGUAAGGGGAUCGAAGAUGAUUAGAUACCGUCGUAGUCUUUACCACAAACUAUGCCAACUAGAGAUGGGAUUUCGUCUUCUUACGACUAAUUCCGCACCUUAUGAGAUAUCAAAGUCUUUGGGUUCCGGGGGGAGUAUGGUCGCAAGACUGGAACUUAAAGGAAUUGACGGAAGGGCACCACCAGGAGUGGAGCCUGCGGCUUAAUUUGACUCAACACGGGGAAACUCACCAGGUCCAGACAUAAUAAGGAUUGACAGAUUGAUAGCUCUUUCUUGAUUUUAUGGGUGGUGGUGCAUGGCCGUUCUUAGUUCGUGGAGUGAUUUGUCUGCUUAAUUGCGUUAACGAACGAGACCUUAACCUGCUAAAUAGAAUCGUAUAUCUUUCGGAUAAACGACUUUCUUCUUAGAGGGACUUUGUGCGUUUCAGCAUGAGGAAGUUUUGAGGCUAAAACAGGUCUGUGAUGCCCUUAGAUGUUUCUGGGCUGCACGCGCGCUACACUGAUGCGUUCAACGAGUGUACAACCUUGCCCGAUAGGGUUGGGUAACCUUUUGAACAC
rnacentral:rRNA from 1 species